UGAGAGCAGAGAGUUGGAAAUGGGCGGGACGGAAAAAAAGUUGAAAGGGGAAAUGAUAACACUCCCAAGGAAUAUUCAUGUAAGCUAAUAGUCAGUCAUGCUCUGCUGCUGCUUGUGAUGAUGAUGAUGAUGUUGUUGUUGUUGGGAAGAACAGUCUGUGCACAUUCCUGCCUAUCCCGCUUCUCCCAGGAUGUUUAGCUCGUGUCACGUGGUCACGUUCUUCUUUGUUCGGUCCACCUCAGGUCCACAUGCCGGUCGUUACAGGCAACGUAAUGUUUGGUUUCUUCAGCCGGUCUUGACGACAUCUUCUUUUCUAACCUGGCCGUACCGAGUGCUUCGUACGACCUGAAACGGGCCGCCGUAUCUGGGCUCGCUCCACGUUCUCUUAUGUUGCUCUGCAGGGUCCACUUCCUCGGGUGGGAAUUGUCUGGACCCUGCAAAAGAUUUUUCCCACCGCACCGCAGUGAUUUCAGUCAUCAAGGGUCUUUUGUUCCACACACAACCCCCCAACUCACUCUCUCUCACACACACACACACACACGGACACACAGCAGGGGACAGCAACAUUUGGCCCCCGCUGACCCAUCAGACACGCUGGCGCCUGCUUCGGAUGAGCUUCACGGCUUUGACCUUAUCAGCUGAUUGUCAACGGGGAGGACGACGUCCGCGUAAACGACAUCAUCCGGAACCUGCGGGAUGGAAACGGUGGUGGUGAGCUCCCAUCUCGACCCACAACAAGUGUUGAAGUGUUGAAACUUACAUGGUUGAUAUUGGCUAUGGGACAGGAGGCCUCGGGCCGGUCUGAAAUGCGCAUUUGAAUAACGUCAUACAAAACUAGAGAAAUAUAUCCGUGUCAUGUGUCAUCACUGGCCACAUAUUAAUGUGGUUGUAGUUGUAUUGCAUCGUACUUAAGAGUUAUUUCUAAUUUGCGUCCUUAAAAGAAUGUUUACUACUUACUCGAUGCCUUUCGUCGCCUGACCACAACAAACAUGGCGGCCAAGGCGGUCAGUGCGGCGCACGCCAACACCGCCGCCACCACGCCGACCUGGAAGCGUCUGUCGCCUGGAAACACAAUUUGAACGUGACUUCUGAGUUGUACUUUUGUAGCAGUCAUUUUAAAAAAUGAGUGGACUUAAUCCCAUACCAUGAGGUUCUACUUCUUCUAAUUUGAAGCCUCCUCUUCCCUUCCCUUUGAAAGCUAAACAGUCAAAAGAGCAUUAUUAUUUUGAGUUUGAACAUAAUUAUAGGUCAUUUGGUAGUUGGUCCACACCUGGUAC